CAUACGCUGCCCUCUCGCAUUGCUCCGCUUCCUGCUCCCCUCCCCGCGCGCACACGCCGCAUGUUGCUCUGCUCUCCCUCCUCCGUGCACACCAGCUACCCACGGGCACAUUGCUCCGCUGUGGGCCCCCCUCCGCCGCGCACACGCCCCGCAGACCGCUCCGCUGCCCCCGCAGCCGCAUUCCUCGGCUUCCAGAUCGCACCGUGUCAAGGAGCCUGGCAAGAGGAGGAGCCAUUGCCGGGCCUGCAUUGCUAGCUAGCGGCUGGUCGAAAAGCGAGAGGUCGGCCAACCACUGCCUUGAAAAUCACCACGGCUACCGCACCGCUCUAGUACUCCAGCACGUUCACGUUACCUGCUGAUGACAACUGCCCCAUCAGAUGCUUAUCCCGUGGCAGCGGUCUUUCCUCUCCGAGGCGCUGAGCCGUUCCAACUGCGAUUCCUGUUUAGUCUAGGUUUCCUUCGCCUCUGCAGGCAAGAAGAAGUGGAACUGGUGUGCUUGCAGCUUCUCUCAUGGCCUCUGAGGGUAGAAAGGAUGAAAAUUAUGUGGAGCAUGAGAAGGUACAGUGAGAGCCUGGGGCCCAGCCAGCUUUGAAAACCAGAGUGAUUUUUCAUAUCCAAAGAAGCCAAGCUCCACUGACUGAGGGCAUCUCUGACGGAAGGGCAGGACUGCAAGCUUUUCAACAAUGGGAGAAAUGGGAUAAAACACCUAAAUUCAGAAGAGUAUGCACUGCUGCAGACCCUGAGCAGACAGGAAUUACCCAUCUGAAUAGAGGGAGAAUAUGACUGAGCGUCUCGUGUGUGAAGAACAUUUUGGGAAGAGGUACACUUAAAGAUUAUUUCUGAACAAGGAUGAGCUGUCUGUUUGCUAUACCCUAGCCUCCAGUUUGUCCUUUCAAAGGUUGCCACUGCAUCGAUUAGAAGGAAAAGGCCGCAACUUCGCCACUCCAGAGGAGCAGCUGAUUAAUCCCAUGUCAACAGUCUUGACCCUAUGCAGAAAACAGAAUCACAGAAGGCCUGCUUAACAAUAUAUCAAGGAUAGCACAGUUUGGAAAAUGCAGUUUGCAAGCUCAUUUGCUCCUGCGCCGUGUUCAUAAGCAGAAUAUCAUUCCUUUCUGCAUAUCCGCUAGACUGGACAAAUCAAGGUGACAAUCCAUGGUUAACUCUGUCAGGCCCUUUGUCCUGCUGCUCCUGUGAAGCGCAAUACAAUGGGAACAAAGUGGAAUAUAUAACAGUCCAGCUGCCUUGUUGUGACAGCGCCGGCCCGAAUUACAGUGUGUCAGCCCUUGUUUGUGUAUCGAUAGCCGGUCCAUAACAUGACAAUGCAGAUUGCGCGAAAGCGCUUCGAUACGAGAAAAAAUCAUGUCAAGAGAGGGGAAAAAAUCAAACCUGUCUUGCGAAACUGAAGCUCGUAAAAGGCUAUAUUUUGGUACAGUUGUUACCUUCAGAUGUAGGGCCCGUUUUUUCAGCCUGGCAUGUUUCUAAGGGAUGCAGGUAGGCGCUUGCUUUUAAAUCUAUCAUACGGUGUCUGCUUACAGGGCUCCGCACUGAUGCUACUUUUAAGGCAGUUUAUAUUUCAUUUAAGCAUGCAAUUAAUCAUCUUUACAGUGUUGAUGUGACUGGCAUCAGCAGCGUUAUUUAAUUAAAUUUGAAAUUAUUGUACAGUAAAUAUAGGCUUCCAACUAGCCAGUCCAAAUUAAAUGCUGAGGUCUAUUUCUUACCCAUGGUGUUUCCAAUUUAAAUGCUCAUCCAAAAGGUUACACUUCACGGGUUGAAAUCAUUUUUAUGUUCUAACUGUUGCUAAACCAAAAGAUCAACUGUAUGUGAGUCCUGUGCAUCUAUUAGCUGCAGGAAUGUGUACACAUUAUCUAUAUUUCUCAUAUUCCAUUUUGUAUUAGCGAUUUUAUGACUGAUGCUCUUUAAGCACCAUUUUUCGUCUGAUACUCUGUCUCUUCUGUCACGUCAGCCCCGAGCUGCCGUUACAGAAAAGUCCUUCCUCCAUUUUGUUUCAGCCUGGUAAUCAAGCAAUUAGUCCACAAAAUGGAGGUGCUCUGCUUCGCUCCUCAUCCUGCGUGUCGCUCUGGGUGGGCUUUACCUGCGGGAAAGCGGCAGGCAGCGCGCUUUGCUGCCGCAAGGGCUAAAUCGGCCGCCGGAGAGUGUCCCCACGAUGACCAGUAAGUGUCCAUUGCUUAGGGGGACUCGUAGAGGAGAGAGACCUUUGUGGUGCUUCGCUGGAGAAUUAACGCGCAGCACACGCACUACCUGCCAACGCUGCACACGCCACAGCAGAAGGCGUAUGGCUGCUCCCCUUCCCUGACUGCGUUCAAGCUCUAAUUUUAUAACGACCUGAAAACGUGCAGGCAGCCGAACUUUUAAACGUUAGGAACAACAUUGCUUUUCACCUUGUCUUUAUUUCAUAAAGAAAAGAAGCGGGGGGAGGGGAAGGAAAUCAAACCAAACCAAACCACACCAAACCAACAACACCAUUUGUUUUAUGUUACAGCUUUCCACAGACAAUUCACAACAUGUCUAGCAAGGAAUCAGACCAGAAAUACCGUCUCACUCCUAUCAUAUAUAUAAUACAGCUUUUGAAUACUGGAAAAUCUGUCAUCCGUUAAGUGCAGCUCAGGUCUUCUGUGUGAAAAGCACAAGCCUUUUUUUUUUUUUAAUGCAGUGCUGCCGUGUCUGCACUUUUUUGAAAUUGCAUAUUUAUCAGUCUAUGAAUUAUUUAUGAGUGGAGAAGGGAGGGGGAGGGCUGGAAGGGGAAGGAAGAGUGAGAAAACAUAUGCUUGGGCAGAGGAAUACCUUAAAUGAAUCCUGUACCAAGUCUUUUGGAGGAUUAUUUGUAAUUACUUUUUCGUUUUCUUUUUUCUUUUUUUUUUUGUUUCUCUUACGUGUCACUCGGUUGUCUGCUAUUCCUAUUCUUUUGUUUGGUUGGUUUUGUUUGACUUUUUGGGACUAGGAAGGGAUUGGGGUACUGCUUGCUAAAAGUUGGAAGAUUUUGCCACAGAAAUGAACUGAGCAGUUCUUUUGACUUCUAAAGUACAGGGUGUUUAAUAAAUAUUAAUCCUUCAACUGUCAGACUGAAUUAUUGUCAAAAAGGGGCUGACAGAUUGAGGAUUAAUGACAUGUUUCAUAAAUUAGAAAUGAACUAUCAGCAGAACGUCCAAAGGAGGCAUCAGGAACGGACGUGGUUUGCCGUAGACCAGUUGCACAUCCCACGCGUGUCAGACCGUAGUUCAGACUUAAGCAGAAAACCAAAACAACCCUCCCUCCCACAAACACACCUUCUGCUCUUCAGGUACUAGGAUCUGACAUGUAGAGACUUUCCUCUUUAGGAUCAGCAUGUACUGAAAUAGCAAGGUUGUCUCAGACGCCAGAUAAUUUGAUCAGACAGGGUCAAAUCUAUAUAUAUAUAUUUUAAUGGUUUUGUUAGAGAGAAAUUGGGGGAGGUGGAGUGAUUUCUAUUCAAACAUCUCAAUGUUGUAUUUUCCUACUAUGAAAAACAUAACAUCACAGAAAGCUGGAAGACAUGGCAUUAUGAUGGUAAAUUGGAAAAAUGGUAGAUGCCUCUUCAAAAACACCCGGAAUUUCAUAUAUAAAUUAUGUAUUAAAAGAAAUAUGUUUGCAUAAAACAAGUGGUAGUAAUUUAAUAUCAGGUGACAGGAUUUUUAGGAGAGGCUAAUGUGUGUCAAAAAAUACCGUGUGGAGUUUUUAAUCAAACUCAUGAUCC